rfam:Amborella trichopoda AMTR_V1.0_contig_28553, whole genome shotgun sequence.
UUGAGCCGGAUGAAAGGAAACUUUCACGUCCGAUUUUGAAAGGGGGAGAUCCUAUAGGAUCCUAUCCGAAUUUUUCUUUUGCUAGGCCCAUAGCUAAAAAACCUACUUUCU